ACGACGUUAUCUAGUAAUUUACUGUAAAAAGAACUAUGUAAAUUACCUAGGGUAUUUCAUUUACCUAACUUCGAUUUCAAUCUAAGAAUUUUUAUGAUCUCGAUCUGACAACAUUGCUCUCUGGUGUUAAUAAUACGCUAUUAGGUUCGUUUUUGGAGCAAAAUUAAUUGGUAAACCGAUUUCAAAUCAAAGAUUUCCCAGAUAUCUUGCACAUGAUAAUUAAAUUGUAAGUUGUGAAAAAUUGUUAAAGUAAUUUGUAUGAAUCUAUGAUCUAAGUGAUCCUAGGUACUGGUUCGUUAAUCGAAAUCCAGGUGUACAUAACCUACAACGUCAUUCGUUGCUGACCAAACAAUUAAUCGAGAAAGCCAUUAAAGAACAAAACAUCGAGUUAAAAGAUGUAGAAGUUGAUCACCUGGAAACGGACAAAGAGAUUCCACAUAGUUGACAGCAG
rnacentral:misc_RNA from 1 species